rnacentral:tRNA from 1 species
GGCCCCUUGGCGGAAUGGCAGACGCAGGGGAUUUAAAAUCCUUUGCCCGUGAGGGCGUCCCGGUUCGAGUCCGGGAGGGGCCA